GAACUGUCCUAUCCCAUAAAGCGCGCUAGGUUUUUCUCAUUUCUCUUACUCAAAAGGGUUUAUCCAAUUUCUCAAAACCUCAAUCAAACUUUGCCUCCAAUUUGUAGUAAUCAAUGGCGGCGUUGCAACAAAUUGGAUUGGGAUUGACAAUGAAGAAAAAUGUGCCGUCCUUAGAUGGGCUCAGAGUCUUGCUGCCGACGUUUAGGGUUUCUCCCGCCAUUGGAGCUUUAGGGGUUGGAGUCGAUAGGAGAAGCUUUAGGGGUCUCGUUGUUAAAGCUGCCACCGUUG